UUUAGAUCUACCGAUAAGAAAUUAACGGUUAUCUAGAAAGCUUUGCAUAUCAAUGAAUGAAUCUUCAAUAAGUAAUGGCUACUCGGAAAGAUUCAGUUGGUUUUAUAUAUGUUUGCUAUAUGAUUGUUUUAGAUAGUGUUUACCGGGUCCAUAUAAGGAUGCGUCUCUCGCAUACGUAUGCAUUCCCAUUUCCCAAUAUAAUGAUGUGAUAUAUAGUAUAGUUUUAAAGACGCUUUUCCACUCAUGUGCUCCGUCGUUAUUCCUCCUCGUGGGUUUGUAUUUGUCUUUGAGAUAUUUGUACUUUUCGGAUAACUAAAUUUGUUGUCUUCUACUUUUUAUUUUCAUCUGUGAAUCUUUAUUGAUAGUUACAACAUCAAAACAGAAAACAAGUUAAACGACAAGGAAGAAACAAUGAUCAAUUCGGACCUACACAAGGCUCGUUAUGAUGAGGAUUGAUAAUACCAGAAGCGUCUUCUGCUUAUAACAAAGAGUUCAUUUUUUUUGUAUAUAUCUUAUCGGCUGAUUCAGUCAUCCCAAGAGAGAUUUCAAAUUUGGUAAAAUAAAAGAGAAUUGAAGCAAAAUGUGGUUUUUAACGGCGCUGUGACGUAUAAGCUUAUUAUCAAAAUUGGUUUGACCGCAACAAGACGUUAGCGACUGAAUCCAAUUACACUGCGCGUUUAGCAUCAAAAUGAUAUCCCAAUAAAAUGAAAAUCUAUGUACAAAAAAAUAAAAUAAAAUGAAAAUCUAUAAUUAUGACGUGCGUUGGAUGAUAUAGCACGUAGUAACAUAAUCAGGCCUGAACAUAAUACUAUGAUACAAUGACAACGAACCCAUAUUUUGGACAAUUGGACUCCCACGAAUUACACGUGAUGAACAAGAAGGUGGAAUAGGUGUCAUGAAUGUCACACAUCAACUACUAUUAAAUAGCUAAAACAAGCGAAGUAUACAUCAACUAUUUGCUACCUCGAUAAUUAUUAUUUGCUUACGCGUUCGUAUAUAUAUCAGGUCUUUUCUUCUCAAUAAGAAAAUCAAUGAUACAUAAGUUACAACCAGGAAUAUUAAUUAGCAGAUAUGGAUCCAAUAUUAAAAAAUUUUGGUUUCACGUGAAUCUUGAAGCAAAAGUUGUAUGGCUGACAAAAUUCCAAGGAUAUCUAUGUAUAUCUUUACAAAAAAAUAAUAUA
rnacentral:lncRNA from 1 species